UGCUAGCUUGCUAGAACUUAGAGACAGGUGCUGCACGGCUGUCGUCAGCUCGUGUCGUGAGAUGUUGGGUUAAGUCCCGCAACGAGCGCAACCCACGUAUUUAGUUGCUAACGGUUCGGCCGAGCACUCUAAAUAGACUGCCUUCGUAAGGAGGAGGAAGGUGUGGACGACGUCAAGUCAUCAUGGCCCUUAUGCCCAGGGCGACACACGUGCUACAAUGGCAUAUACAAUGAGACGCAAUACCGCGAGGUGGAGCAAAUCUAUAAAAUAUGUCCCAGUUCGGAUUGUUCUCUGCAACUCGAGAGCAUGAAGCCGGAAUCGCUAGUAAUCGUAGAUCAGCCAUGCUACGGUGAAUACGUUCCCGGGUCUUGUACUCACCGCCCGUCACACCAUGGGAGUUGAUUUCACUCGAAGCCGGAAUACUAAACUAGUUACCGUCCACAGUGGAAUCAGCGACUGGGGUGAAGUCGUAACAAGGUAACCGUAGGAGAACCUGCGGUUGGAUCACCUCCUUUCUAG
rnacentral:rRNA from 1 species